rnacentral:rRNA from 1 species
AGAGUUUGAUCCUGGCUCAGGAUGAACGCUAGCGGGAGGCCUAACACAUGCAAGCCGAGCGGUAUUUGUCUUUCGGGACAGAGAGAGCGGCGUACGGGUGCGGAACACGUGUGCAACCUGCCUUUAUCUGGGGGAUAGCCUUUCGAAAGGAAGAUUAAUACCCCAUAAUAUAUAGACUGGCAUCAGUUUAUAUUGAAAACUCCGGUGGAUAGAGAUGGGCACGCGCAAGAUUAGAUAGUUGGUGAGGUAACGGCUCACCAAGUCAGUGAUCUUUAGGGGGCCUGAGAGGGUGAUCCCCCACACUGGUACUGAGACACGGACCAGACUCCUACGGGAGGCAGCAGUGAGGAAUAUUGGACAAUGGGUGAGAGCCUGAUCCAGCCAUCCCGCGUGAAGGACUAAGGCCCUAUGGGUUGUAAACUUCUUUUAUACUGGGAUAAACCUACUUACGUGUAAGUAGCUGAAGGUACAGUAUGAAUAAGCACCGGCUAACUCCGUGCCAGCAGCCGCGGUAAUACGGAGGGUGCAAGCGUUAUCCGGAUUUAUUGGGUUUAAAGGGUCCGUAGGCGGAUCUGUAAGUCAGUGGUGAAAUCUCAUAGCUUAACUAUGAAACUGCCAUUGAUACUGCAGGUCUUGAGUGAGAUUGAGGUAGCUGGAAUAAGUAGUGUAGCGGUGAAAUGCAUAGAUAUUACUUAGAACACCAAUUGCGAAGGCAGGUUACCAAGUCUUAACUGACGCUGAUGGACGAAAGCGUGGGGAGCGAACAGGAUUAGAUACCCUGGUAGUCC